rnacentral:rRNA from 1 species
CCUACGGGGUGCAGCAGUGAGGAAUAUUGGUCAAUGGGCGGGAGCCUGAACCAGCCAAGCCGCGUGAGGGAAGAAGGUACAGCGUAUCGUAAACCUCUUUUGUCAGGGAACAAAGGCUGGAACUAGUCCCCGGAUGAGGGUACCUGAAGAAAAAGCAUCGGCUAACCCCGUGCCAGCAGCCGCGGUAAUACGGAGGAUGCGAGCGUUAUCCGGAUUUAUUGGGUUUACAGGGUGCGCAGGCGGCCUGUUAAGUCAGCGGUAAAAGCCCGGGGCGCAAACCCGGCGAGCCGUUGAAACUGGCGGGCUGGAGUUGGAGAGAAGUACGCGGAAUGCGCGGUGUAGCGGUGAGAUGCUUAGAGAUCGCGCAGAACCCCGAGUGCGAAGGCAGCUUACUAAACUGCCACUGACAUUGAUGCUCGAAAGUGUGGGUAUCAAACAGGAUUAGAUACCCGGGUAGUC